AUUGAACGCUGGCGGAAUGCUUUACACAUGCAAGUCGAACGGCAGCACGGACUUCGGUCUGGUGGCGAGUGGCGAACGGGUGAGUAAUGUAUCGGAACGUGCCCAGUCGUGGGGGAUAACGUAGUGAAAAUUACGCUAAUACCGCAUACGAUCUAUGGAUGAAAGCGGGGGAUCGCAAGACCUCGCGCGAUUGGAGCGGCCGAUACCGGAUUAGGUAGUUGGUGGGGUAAAGGCCCACCAAGCCAACGAUCUGUAGCUGGUCUGAGAGGACGACCAGCCACACUGGAACUGAGACACGGUCCAGACUCCUACAGGAGGCAGAAGUGGGGAAAUUUGGACAAUGGGCGAAAGCCUGAUCCAGCCAUUCCGCGUGCAGGAUGAAGGCCCUCGGGUUGUAAACUGCUUUUGUACAGAACGAAAAGGUUUCUACUAAUACUAGGAGCUCAUGACGGUACUGUAAGAAUAAGCACCGGCUAAGUACGUGCCAGCCGCCGCCGUAA
rnacentral:rRNA from 1 species